GUGCGGCUGGCUUGUCCCGCCCCUGCCCCUGAGUGACAGAACCGUGGACAGCAACAUUUCCCACAGGACACGAAGUUUGUCGGCCCUUGCCUUGGCAGAGCUGAGUAAGAAAAAUCACCAAGAAUAUUAUUUUUGGUAUUUGGAAUUGAAUUUGCCAGGAAUGCAAGCACUGCUACCUAACUAAAGACCUUGGCUUUGGAAACAUCUUACCCCUUGGCAGCUCUCCAGAGUUUAGACUUGGCAGCAUCAAAGACACAACGCAAGGAAGUUGGCCUUGUACUUGCAGCUAUAUUGGCACUACUACUGGCUUUCUAUGCUUUCUUUUAUCUCAGACUCACCACGGAUGUUGACCCUGAUCUGGACCAAGAUGAAGAUUAGCUAAGCAACAAUCAAUGCAUGAAAGAGAAAUAACUUUACGAAAGCACCUUUUGGGACCAAAACUUUCAAUACUGAAACUGUAACAUCUUUAAUUCUUUCUGCUAAUAUUUUCAGUUUGCAGACAUAUGAUUUUUGAUAGUUGCAUAGGAUGUCAGGAAAAGAACCUUACCUAGCAAUGCAGUAUAGUAUGUGCUACUGGAUACUUUUAUAUAUCUUUCUGCUUUGACAGCCACCCUAUACAUGGUACAUUUAGAUGAAAUGGGAACCAGAUCCUAAAUUUUUCAAAUGUCAUUGCCAAUUUAUGUGUAUAAUUCCAUCACUUCCUGAUGAGUAAGUCUAUUUUUGUUCUAUAUACAUCAUAAGUUAGUAUAUAUUCUUAUUUACAGAAACAUGCUCAAAUCACAUUCAGAAAGAACAAAAAGUCAUGGGAAAUUUUUUAUUUUACAACAAAGCCCUGCUUUCUUUCUGGACGUAUUUUACAUCAUUAGAGAGACUAUCUGCACAUACAUCUACCAUAAUCUUUUUCCUUCUUUGCCAACUGUUCAGUGCACAUGUGCUGCAUCAGAAAUGGCACCUGGAUGACAGAAGCUCAAAGAGUCACAUAUGUCUCUAAAAUAGAGUUCUUUUCCUCUUGGGCUGUCUGAACUGGUGUAAAUAGAAGCUCAGUUGAUCUUGGUUUUAAUUAACUUAUUACUCUAUUAAUAUAACCUUGGAAUUCUAUUCUAAUUAUGUUGUUCUGGCUGCUUGUAGUAUCAGUUCGCCCCUCUUGUUAGGGAGAUAUGUAACAAUCUGUCAUUUAAUUGAGCAGUCUUUUUCACAUAACAGUAAUAGCAAAAAUCCUACCUACUCAGAAUCAUCUUCUUAGGUUGUCUCCUAAAUCUGAACAAUACAGUUGUUUUAUAAAAUUACAUUUUGUCUCUUGAGAUUUAAUCAAUUAGAACUCUUUAGGGAGAAAAUAAAUAAUAGAAGAAAAUAUAUGCCUCAUAUUUCAUAUGUAAUUAUCUGUUGAUAUAAUUUUUCAAUGUAUUUUGUAUUUGUGGGAGCAUAAUGACCUGUACAUUCAAUAUUUUUACUGGUAAUUCAAUUUUUAAAUAUGUUUUUACAAUGCUUGAACACAUAAACCUUAGAAAACUGGAAAAUACGUGUCCACAGAAAGAGUUAUUAGCUACUACCUUAUGUAAAGAUGCAUAGAAAAUGAAAUUGUUGGAAACAUGUGCACAAAGUGUUUUAUAUUAUAUACAUUGUAUUUAUGAAGAAUAAAUAAAAUAUUAAGAUUGUUUUCCUGCUAGCCAAGAGAAG
rnacentral:lncRNA from 1 species